rnacentral:lncRNA from 1 species
CAGGUGGUAAGCGUUCAGUAAAGUCAGCGUUGAUUUAAUAGAUGAAUUGCUUAAUGGUGAACGAAGCCACUGCCACGAAUGGAGAGACAGGAUGAUUUGCCUCUCUGGGCUUGGGGACUGAUGUGUGAUCCGGUUUUAUUUGGGUCUUAGAGUACACUCCAGGCAUGCUCCAAGACCCUGUCCCGACUUCGGGCUUGUUAACUGGGCGACACUGAGCACCAAGUAGGUGCGAUCCCUGCCUUAGGACAGACACUGGCCCCCA